rnacentral:rRNA from 1 species
UGAGAGGAUGACCAGCCACACUGGAACUGAGACACGGUCCAGACUCCUACGGGAGGCAGCAGUGGGGAAUAUUGGACAAUGGGGGCAACCCUGAUCCAGCAAUGCCGCGUGUGUGAAGAAGGCCUGAGGGUUGUAAAGCACUUUCAGUGGGGAGGAGGGUUGAUAGGUUAAGAGCUGAUUAACUGGACGUUACCCACAGAAGAAGCACCGGCUAACUCCGUGCCAGCAGCCGCGGUAAUACGGAGGGUGCAAGCGUUAAUCGGAAUUACUGGGCGUAAAGGGUGCGUAGGUGGUUGAUUAAGUUAUCUGUGAAAUUCCUGGGCUUAACCUGGGACGGUCAGAUAAUACUGGUUGACUCGAGUAUGGGAGAGGGUAGUGGAAUUUCCGGUGUAGCGGUGAAAUGCGUAGAGAUCGGAAGGAACACCAGUGGCGAAGGCGGCUACCUGGCCUAAUACUGACACUGAGGCACGAAAGCGUGGGGAGCAAACAGGAUUAGAUA